GGUCAGCUGACACAUCCCUGCCAAUCUGCGGCAGACGCUCCCUCCCAGAUCCUCCCACCUCCUGGACAGCAUCCAUGUUGAAGCUGCCUUCAACAUGGAUGCUGUCCAGGAAGUAGGAGGGUCUGGGAGGGAGGGUCUGCCGGAGAUUGGCAGGGAUGUGUCAGCUG